rnacentral:rRNA from 1 species
GGCCUACCAUGGUGGUAACGGGUAACGGGGUGUUAGGGCACGACACCGGAGAGGGAGCCUGAGAAACGGCUACCACAUCCAAGGAUGGCAGCAGGCGCGCAAAUUACCCAAUCCCGACACGGGGAGGUAGUGACAAUAAAUAACAAUACGGGGUCCUUUCGGGUUUCGUAAUUGGAAUGAGUACAAUUUAAAUCUCUUAAUGAGGAACAAUUGGAGGGCAAGUCUGGUGCCAGCAGCCGCGGUAAUUCCAGCUCCAAUAGCGUAUAUUAAAGUUGUUGCAGUUAAAAAGCUCGUAGUUGAAUUUCGGGAUUAGUGCGCCGGUCGUGCCUUCGGUAUGUACUGGUGUUACUGGUUCCUACCUUCUGACGAACCGUCAUGUCAUUAAUUUGGUGUGGCGGGAAAUCAGGACUGUUACUUUGAAAAAAUUAGAGUGUUUAAAGCAAGCUAACGCUUGAAUACAUUAGCAUGGAAUAAUGAAAUAGGACGUUCGAUCUUAUUUUGUUGGUUUCUAGGAUUGACGUAAUGAUUAAUAGGGAUAGUUGGGGCAUUAGUAUUCAAUUGUCAGAGGUGAAAUUCUUGGAUUUAUUGAAGACUAACUACUGCGAAAGCAUUUGCCAAGGAUGUUUUCAUUAAUCAAGAACGAAAGUUAGGGGAUCGAAGACGAUCAGAUACCGUCGUAGUCUUAACCAUAAACUAUGCCGACUAGGGAUCGGAUGAUGUUAAUUUUUUAAUGACUCAUUCGGCGCCUUACGGGAAACCAAAGUGUUUGGGUUC